rnacentral:tRNA from 1 species
UCCUAGGUGGCUCAGUGGUAAAGAAUCUGUCUGUGAAAUAGGAGACACAGAUUCAAUUCCUGGGUUGGGAA